AAUCUGAAAUUUCAUGAGAUGUAGAUUAUUGUUACAUCAUUGGCUUUGCAAAACUUCUGUUCAUGUAUAUUAUGCUCAAGACCCACAUAAAUAAUAACAUAACAGAGCUUUAUUGCAAUGUCUUGAUACUGAAUAUAAAGUACGAACUCAUGUAGAUUUGCUCAGGUGAGUUGUAUCUCUGCAUAUCAGUGAAUCUUAGACUGAGAAAUCCUGGCACUUCUCACAAGCACUAUCUUAAAGAUUCCCGUAUGUCUUUGGAACCUGAACGAGAACACACAACGAGGGAUGAUAAGUGCAAUGGAAUACAUGAGUGAACCUGACAAAACCAAACCACCACUACCACCACCACUCUGCUCAAAUGAAUUACUGGGUCACAAAAGUUGCACGCUAAAUGAAGAAAACAGACAGGAGAGAUGUAGAAAUAAGAGGCGUCUUCUAAUUAUUGGAUGAUUCAAAGUUUUCAGCUGCAGAAAUCAAGAUAACUAGGAGAGGAAAAAGACCCCCAAAAAUCCAGACUCUUAGAGGACACAUUUAAUUGAUGAUCUUCUUGUCUUCCAUGCCAAAUUAUUAA